rnacentral:tRNA from 1 species
AUCUGGGUGACUCAGUAGGUUAAGUGUCUGACUUUGGCUCAGGUCGUGAUCUCAGGGUUGUGAGAUCAAGUCCCACAUCAGAUU